GUUCCACACGUACCCAUCCCGAACACGACCGUUAAGCCCUCCAGCGCCGAUGGUACUUGGACCGCAGGGUCCUGGGAGAGUAGGACGUUGCCAAGC
rnacentral:rRNA from 1 species